rnacentral:misc_RNA from 1 species
CGAGUUUUGAACCACGCCGUGCGUGCUCCAUGUUGCUUCACACCGUUGUGAACUUCCGGCGAAGCAGGCAGUAGGAGCUGCCCCGUAACGGAGGAAGCGUGUGCUUCGACGCCUGGUCCGACUAUCUCGGGCCAAUAUCACCACGCAACCCAGGAAACGUUCAGAAAAUAACGGCACCAUUCCCGCUAUAAUGGCAUACGGCGAUCGCGAUCGUGGUGACAGAAGAGGAGGCGGCGGCUCGCGCGGCGGUGGUCGCUUCGGCGGGCGAGAUGGCGGGGGAGGUGGUGGCAGCAGGUUCAGCAGCGGCGGAAACCGCGAUAGCGGCUUCGGCAGCAACAGUUUCAAGAAUCGGCAGCCCGGCGAACGUCUGCGCAAACCGCGAUGGGACAUGAGCACGUUGCCGCCGUUCAGAAAAGAUUUCUAUCAGCCGCAUCCGAAUGUAAUGGCGCGCAGUGUUCAUGCCGUAGAGGCAUAUCGUUCGAAUAAAGAGAUCACCGUGAAGGGGACUAACGUUCCAGGGCCCAAUAUCUAUUUCGAAGAGGGCGGCUUCCCGGACUACGUUCUCAACGAGAUCCGCCGCCAAGGCUUCGGCGAGCCGACCGCCAUCCAAGCGCAGGGUUGGCCGAUCGCGUUGUCUGGUCGCGACAUGGUCGGCAUCGCGCAGACAGGUUCCGGGAAGACGCUAGCGUACAUCCUGCCCGCGAUCGUGCACAUAAAUCAUCAGCCUAGAUUGAGCAGAAAUGACGGGCCGAUUGCCCUGAUCCUGGCGCCAACCAGAGAACUGGCACAGCAGAUCCAGCAGGUGGCAUCGGACUUCGGCAUGUCGUCGCAAGUACGAAACACAUGCAUCUUCGGUGGCGCGCCGAAGGGGCCGCAGGCGCGCGACCUCGAGCGCGGCGUCGAGAUCUGCAUUGCCACGCCGGGCCGCCUAAUCGACUUCCUCGAGCGCGGCACCACAAAUCUACGUAGAUGUACGUACCUGGUACUGGACGAGGCCGACAGAAUGCUCGACAUGGGCUUCGAGCCGCAAAUUAGGAAAAUUGUAGAGCAAAUACGACCAGACCGCCAGACCCUCAUGUGGUCGGCGACGUGGCCGAAGGAAGUGCGUAAUCUCGCGGAGGAGUUCUUAACGGACUACAUACAGAUCAAUAUUGGCUCCCUGCAACUAGCCGCGAAUCAUAAUAUUUUACAAAUCGUCGAUGUGUGCGAGGAGUACGAAAAGGAGAGUAAACUCAUGAAACUGCUGGAAGAGAUCUCAAACGAGCCGGAAAAUAAAACUAUUAUAUUCGUGGAAACUAAGAGGAAAGUGGAUGAUAUAACGAGAGCUAUUAAUAGAUAUGGAUGGCAAGCGAUUGGCAUUCACGGAGACAAAAGCCAACAAGAAAGAGAUUACGUAUUAAACCAGUUCCGGAAUAGCAGAUCCGCCAUCCUAGUGGCUACCGAUGUCGCGGCGAGAGGUUUAGAAUAAACAUAGGUGGAUUUUGACGUUCUUUUGAGAGAUCUUCUUGUACAUGUGCGGAUACGGUAACACGGUAACCGAUUACUCUCUGAAUUAUGCGCACAGAGAAAGCACACGGUGUGUAGAAAGAACGUUAAAAUAUUUCAGCUUUGUGGAGCCAGGGAGGCACAUGCGGUGGAGUCUUAGAACUCUGCAGAGCUUGCUUUGGAAAAUGUAAUUGAACGGGGCGUGACUGCUGGUCGCCGCCCCCUCGCAACAAGCUAACAUACGCUGUGCCUCGGCCCACCGUGCCACUCGAAAAACACUCUCACUCUGUACGGUCUCUGCGACGGUCCAAAGUAUGGAGGUCAAUAAUGUUAGGGCGUCUAGCAUGUGAGGAAAAAAAAUGUGAGGGGGAAAAACGGAUAGAUGUUGUAUUGCCGGCUGUACAUUCGUUAGAUUCGCAACAACGGGAAAUUGCAUCAAGUCGCGCUCUGCAUUAAUUGUGAUACGUAAUUGUGUUCUGAAUAACCGAUGAUCGACCGUUUGAUUUCGCGGAAGAUUGAAAACAUGGUGUCAACACGAAGACCUUUCAUGAAGAGAACCUUUGUGGAGAAUUCACUGUAUUUUCAUGGUAACUUUUGUAAAUCUGGACCGUCGGGCAAAGUUCGAAAAAAAAAGGCAAAUCAUUAAGCGCGGCGGUAACGGUAGUGAUCGCUCGAGUAGUAUAGCUACGGCACGUCGAGACCGUCACAAUAUUGCGGUGCGUAAUUCUUGAUGCGUACAAUUAUUCGAUGGGAGUACAUGUGGGCGUUGAGUGGGAGAACACACGCAAGGUGCUCACUUGGUGUUCCAACCUCUUCACCGAAGCAAUGUACAAGGACCAAAUUUCGAAAUAGCCAGCACAGAUCCAUACUUUGGUGCGGGAGAGAUGGGUGUAAGUGUUGCCUAUGAAUAAAAAUGUAGAGCUCGCUAAAUACGUGAAGCGAGAAUUCCAUGA